rnacentral:rRNA from 1 species
UACGUAGGGUGCAAGCGUUAAUCGGAAUUACUGGGCGUAAAGCGUGCGCAGGCGGUUAUGUAAGACAGAUGUGAAAUGCCCGGGCUUAACCUGGGAACUGCAUUGUGUACUGCAUGGCAUGAGAAGUACUGGCAGAGGGGGGGUAGAAUUCCACGUGUAGCAGUGAAAUGCGUAGAUAUGUGGAGGAACACCGAUGGCGAAGGCAGCCCCCUGGGUCAAGAUUGACGCUCAUGCACGAAAGCGUGGGGAGCAAACAGG